GGUCUUUGCAGAAAAGCAACGGUUCUGGUUGCCUCUGGCGUAUUCACCUUUCUGAAAGGCAUUUGAGGGAAGUUUCAAAGGCUCAUCGUCGUCAUCACCACCACCACCAUCAUGAGACGGGUGUGAGCGCUGGAAGAAGUUUCGGAGGUGGUGAAGGAAGAGGUAAGAAGAGGACGAGUAAGGUUGAGCAUGUUGCAAAUUUUCGAUCGACCAAGCCUGGUCACAGCCCUGGUGUUGGUCACUCAAUCAACGCUUGAAGCUUCUUCACUCCCUCUCUCUCUCGCUCUCUUUUCUCUCAUUGAAUUUCUUCGGCCUCAAGGAGUUGGUUCUACCGCGUAAUUCUUCUUCUUUGUACUUAAAAGCUCUCUCUCAUUGAAUAUCUUGCAGCUUCAAGGAGUUGGUUCUACAGUGUAAUUAUUCUUCUUUGUAUUUAAAAGCUCUUUCUCUCUC